AGGUGGCAGGCAAGAGAACCUGGAGUUGGGAUGUGGUUCUAGAUGUAACUGGAGGAUAGCUCUACGAUGCACGGAAGGAGAGGCAAGUCACUGUGCUUCCUUGACCCUCUGUCUCGUCAUCUGUAGAAAAAGCAAGUGGGAUUGGAUGAGCUCAAAGAUUCCCUGGGCUGUUAAGAAGCUCUCAUCUCUCGUCAUGACACCCUCAGCAGCAUCAGUAACACUGAUUUUCAUUUCAUGUUUCCCCACAAGGCGGCAGAUGCCUGCAGUUGCAGGGGUAGAGCUCGGGCUUUCCACCCCUAAGGGGGGGACUCAGACUCAAGGGAUGGAAGUGAGAGGCCCCAGGAAGACGAGGGCUGGGGUUGGAACAGUGGGGAGAGACUGUCUUGGGACUGAGGACAUUUUCAAAAAGCCAGCCUUAAAAUAUACCACAGAAUUUACUUGACGUCUAUGGAAGAAUUGCUGUUUGAUGGGAAAUCGCUGCUCUAGAAAUGGGUACUAAAAAGGCAGAAUGUUAUGGGCCCCAGAGGCUAAGAGGUAGGCCUGUCUGAAGCCAAGUGGAGAAGGGGCCUUUGAUUAGAUGAGCUUCUAAGGUCCCCUAUGGGUUUAUGAUGCUAGAUUACUAAAGCCAACACAGGGAAGGGUUUCCUCGUUCUCCCACCAACCCUGGGAGGCACACACAUCCCAAGGGGCUUCAUUUCUCAUGUCUUCCUGCUCUCUGGCCCUUCCCUUCUUCCUUGUCUUCACCUGACAAUCUUCCACUACCUUCUCGCUACCUGAUUCCUUCUUAGAUCCAGUUUCCUAACCAUACAGACAAAGAGUAGUGAGAGGCCACGGGUAGAAAAUAGAAUCCUAACCCUUAUUUAUAAAAGAGGAAAAGGGAAGUGGUGAGCUUAUUUCACCUUUUAUUUAUAGCCCCACCUACUUCCAAAAGUAUCUUAAGUGUGUCUGCCUUGGCAGAGGCCCCAAGGAGACCAAAAGUCUCCUCUUAAAAAGCUGGAUCCGGAGCAUCAGCCCUGUGAGUUGUUAACAGGCUUAACAGUGGGGAAGAGAGUUAAUUCUGGCAUUUAACCUCUGGAUAUUUUUUAACAAGAGGCAGUUUAGAUGGUGGUUAAAAGCAUAAAUGUAGUGUAUACCCAGAAGAACCGAAACAGGUGUGUUCCAACAAAAACUUGUUCAAGAAUGUUCUUAGCAGCUAUUCACAAUAGCCAAAAGGUGAAAACAACCCAAAUAGGCAUCAGCUGGUGAACGGAUAAGCAAAAUGGGACACAGCCACACAAGGGAUUAUUCUUCAGUAAUAAAAAGCGAUAAAGCACUGAUACAUGCUGCAGCAUGGAUGAGUCCUGAAAUAUGCUAAGGAAAAAAGCCAGACACAAAAGGCCAUGGAGUAUAUGGUUUCCUUUCUAUGAAAUCCGUAGAGAAAGCAGAUUUAGUGGUUGCCAGAGGCUGGAGGGAGAGGGAAAUGGAGAGUGACUGCUCAGUUGGGCGAAAGGUUUCAUUUUGGGUGAUGGAAAUAUUCUGGAACCAGAUAGUGGUAAUGACUGCAGAACAUGCUGCAUGUCCUUAUGCCACCCAACUGCUGAAUUGUACAUUUUCAAGUGGUUAAAGUAGUGACUUUUACAUUAUGCCUAUUUUACCACAAUAGAAAAACAAUCAAGAGGAGGUCCUAUUUGGCUCGGUGGAAACAAACCCAACUAGUAUCCUGGCCCCGCUCAGUGGGUUAAGGAUCCACCAUGGCCGUGAGCUGUGGUGUAAGUCGCAGACUCGGCUUGGAUCCCGAGUUGCUGUGGCUGAGGCGGGGGCCGGCAGCUGUAGCUCUGAUUCAAACCCUUAGCCUGGGAACCUCCAUAUGCCAUGGGUGCGGCCCUGAAAAGUCCAAAAACAAAAACAAAAAAAAACCCCAUAGACCUAGUCAGUGGUGCCUGGCUCUACCACUUAGCAGCUGCGUGACCUUGGGCAAGUCGCUUAAAGGCUCAGUUCCCGUGUCCUCAUCUGUAAUGUGGGAUAAUUAUAACAGUACCUACCUCAGAGGGUUGGAAAUCUUAAAUGAGCCAAUAUAUGCAAAGUGCUUAGCAUAACACCUGGCACAGAGGAAGGAUGCUGUACAUAUUUGUGUUCUCACUCUAACCCCAGUCUUCUCAACUGGGGGCAAUUUUGCCUCAGAGGAAAAAUUUGGCAGUGUUUGGAGAGAUCAGUGAUAUUAUAGCUGGGGGUGCUACUGGCAUCUAGUGGGUAGAGGUCAGGGGUGCCGCCACAGGUCCUACCACGCACAGGACAGCCCCCGAAAUCAAGAAUUAUCCAGCCCCAAAUGUCGGUAGAUCCAAGGGUGCGAAUCCCUGAUUUAAACAGAGAGUGGAGGGAAGUGUGCUUCAUUGAGUGAAUGUAUGAACAAGAAUAGGUCAGAGAGAAAUUUCUGUUAGAAAAAGACUGCCAGCCUGUCGCUGUGUAUAGAGGACACGUUUCAGACUUUGCGGGGAUAGGGGAUAGAAAAACCCAGCCGCGGUCCGGGAGGAGCUUGGAUAAGAAGAGCUCUGUGUAGUGGGCUGUUUAAGGGGGGUGGGGGGUCUUUACCAGGAGACUUUUGUGACCAUCUUUUCUUUAGUAAGAGGGUGAUCUGAGGUCAUCCACCCGACCCACAAUGACACUCGCUCCGAUGCCAACACUUAACUCUUCCCUGUAUAGACGCAUCUUACGUGAACAGUGUCGAUUCACAUGUCUAAAUGUAUCUUGUGUUUGGGUAAAUUCUAUUGAAUAAAUAUCUGAAAAAAACCACUGUCAUAAAUAAAAAAAAAUUUACUUGUUAUAAGUAAAGACACAGGCCCAAGAAAAAUAUUCAUAUUCAGUCUUCUCAUAUUCAGCCACCCACACACCAAAAGGAAAAGGAGAUCCCUUUCACCCACUGCCUUUUUUUUUUUUUGUCUUUUUAAAGCCACGCCUUCAGCACAUGGAGGUUCCCAGGCUAGGAGUUGAGUUCACAGCCUACACCACAGCCACAGCAACUCAGGAUCCAAGCCGCAUCUGCGACCCACACCAGAGGUCACAGCAACACCAGAUCUUUAACCAGCUGAGCAAGGCCAGGGAUUGAACCCUCACGCUCAUGGAUACUAGGUCGGGUUCGUUAACCACUGAGUCACUACAGGAACUCCCACUCUCCUUUUAAGGAGUUAUUUUUCAGAUUGUAAAACCAUAUAUGCAUAUAAUUAGACUAAUUCAGAUGACAAUACAUUCUUCAAUAGAAUGACUCGCCAUCAAAAGGUCUGUCUGGUUCGCUAGCCGUUCACUUUGGGGAAGAGACCCUUAUUCCUUCUCUCUUUUUGCCUCUAGGCUAAGGACUGGAAGACCGGUAAAGGUGUACCAAGCCUUGACUCAGUCCCGUGAGGGGCAGGGGUCCUUUAAUUCGGGCCGUGGGAAGGAAGCUAAGGAAGCUGGUAGAGGCCAGCAAGAGGGCAGACCUCUAGAGGUUCACACCCCUGGAAGCUAAAGCAGGGUGAUGGUGGGGCUCGAGACCCCACCCCACGCAGUCACCUUUGCACACCUUCCUCCAGAACUCUCAUUUCCUAUAUGGACAGGUGCUCGCUGGCAACUUAUUUAGCGCCUGCUAUGGCAAGGAAGCUUAUUAGAUGCUCUUGUAGGAGGAAACUAUGGUGAAUCAUAGAAUGCGUCACAAUGAGUUUUCAGAAUGGCAGACUGCAAGACCUGUUAUUAAUCCCUCUAAGUCCGAAGGGGAUAAGUGCAAUAGGAAGAAUGUAGAGGAAACACCAUGGGAUGCCAGAGGAGCGUGGUUGCCGUCAGUGGGGAGUUUGGUCAAGUGUUUUGGAGAGGGCAGCAUUUGAGUUAGAGCAUGAAGGUUGGCGGAUGUGUAGACAUGGAAGUGUGUGGAAUACGCUAAAGUUCAGAGUGAGCUACCAAGGCGGGAAGUUGCGUAUGUCAGAGAAGAGGUUUUGUAGGAUUUGUGGCAGGGAGUCUAGGGAAAUAGGUCAGAUGGAUAGAUAAGGUGAGCUCAUGAAAAACCCACAAUGCAAGGAUGCAGUCAAGCCAUGGAGAAUCAUGGACAUUCUCUGAGCAGAUGUGGAGGGGUGACUGGACUAAGAACUGCUGUGCAGCUGCGUGAAAGGUGGGCUGCAGAGAUAGCAAGCGUCUGAGUUACUAUGGGGCAAGCAUGGUAAGGAGGGGCCAGGCUUGACCAGUAUUUCAGAGAAAGCACUUGGCCAGACAGACACGGUAGAGGACGUGGCACUGCAUCGCUUCCCUAGGCACUGAGAUGCCGGGUGCAGAAGCACUGGUGCCGGAUGCAGAUGUUUGGGCUCUCGUUCUGGCUCUGCUGUUUAAACCAGCUGUGUGUCCUCGAGCUACCCCUGCUGUCUUAAUCUCUUCAUCUGCAAAAUGGGAAUAAAAGUCUUGUUUCACACACACAUGAGCUGAAGACUACGUUAAGUGCACUUAACACAUUCUGACUCUUGUCUAGCUUAAGUUAUUGUUCUCAAAAGCCCAACAUUGUUAUUCUUAUUGAAAGUAAAAAGAGGAUGAAAUGAGAGCAUAGACUAAAGAACCAAGUUGGAAUGACAGUAUUUGCCAGGAGUAAAGAAUUACACAAGGAGGUGUUUCCCACUGUGGCUCAGUGGUAACCAACCCGACUAGUAUCCAGGAGGAUGCAGGUUCGAUCUCUGGCCUCGCUUAGUGGGUUAAGGAUCCGGCAUUGCUGUGAGCUGUGCUGUAGGUCACAGACACAGCUCGGAUCCCACAGUGCUGUGACUGUGGUGUAGACCAGCAGGUAUAGCUCCGAUUUAACCCCUAGCGUAGGAACUUCCAUAUGCUGCACAUGCGGCCCUGAAAAAAGAAAAAAAAAAAAAA
rnacentral:lncRNA from 1 species